rnacentral:rRNA from 1 species
CCUACGGGAGGCAGCAGUGAGGAAUAUUGGUCAAUGGUCGGGAGACUGAACCAGCCAAGCCGCGUGAGGGAUGACGGUACAGAGUAUCGUAAACUUCUUUUGUCAGGGAACAAAGCCGGGGACGUGUCCCUGGUUGAGUGUACCUGAAGAAAAAGCAUCGGCUAACUCCGUGCCAGCAGCCGCGGUAAUACGGAGGAUGCGAGCGUUAUCCGGAUUUAUUGGGUUUAAAGGGUGCGAAGGGGGUCUGUUCAGUCAGCGGGAAAAGCCCGGGGCUAAACGCAGGCUCGCCGUUGAAACUGGCAGUCUCGAGUUGGAGAGAGGUAUGCGGAAUGCGCGGUGUAGCGGUGAAAUGCUUAGAUAGCGCGCAGAACUCCGAUUGCGAAGGCAGCAUGCCGGCUCCGCACUGACGCUGAGGCACGAAAGCGUGGGUAUCGAACAGGAUUAGAUACCCUGGUAGUC